CUUUUCUAUUUUUCCACCCACUUUUUUAUAAAAAUAUAUUUUAUUUAACACUUUCUUCAUCCUUAACUCUAUAAAUACCCAUCUUCUCUUCACUUCAUUUUCUUACACCANAUAUCUUUCCAAACAUUUCUUCUUNCUCAUACACACACUCCUACACACAUAAUUACAUAUUANCCAUNNUUUCUCUCUCACACCAAAUUUCUUCAUCCAAAAACUCUACUUCAUUUUUCCAUCAAAUCACAUACCAAAUUUCUACUCUAAGUUCAUCUUCUUUACCUCUCAUCCACUUCUUCUCACAACAUAUUUCAAUUGAAUUACUUUUGUUUUCUCAAUCCAGUUUCAGGUUGUGCGUGUGCCUGGGCGUCUUUGCUCAGUUACAGUUGGCGUUUUCAUCAGUGCGUGCUGCCUCAAGCUGUAGCGCUAAUUCACUACAAAUUUUCGUGCUCCCCCGUAUCCUAGAAUCGUAAGAGUUGUAUCACUCACUCACACUAGAAAAUCUCUCUGGAAAUGAAAAAUGAGUCGCACUUGCUUCUUCCUUCUUCCUUCUCCAUGACAAAGAAAGAUUGUUAGAUUCUUUCGAAACCCUUGCCCAAGCUCCAUACAAGGUGAAAACCCUAGUCGAGGUCCACCACUCGUGCUUCAAUCGCUCGCGGCUUGACCAAUAAAUCAUUUUUCUCCAGGAGCAAUAAUUUUUCGAGGAUUGAAAUGCUCUUUGUCGCACUCAUCUAGAAAUUUAUCCCAAGGUAAUGGGAGGUUGGGAACCUGUACAGGAAUACAACGGAUGAAUACGUGUUCUGAUGGAGCGUAAUCGGAAUCGCCGAUUGUUUUCUAGCGUAGCGUCGAAGAAAAAGAUUAUGAAAAGUUUUAUCCCAAAGAAAAGAAGGAAGUUCCGAAGGAAAAUGGCAAAAAUUACGAUUCUAAAGAUGAGGAAGACAAUUUUUAUCAGGGUAUCAACAAGUAUCGAGCCUCAAUAAACUUGAAAGCUCUAACAAGGAAUGACAAUGCAGAUUAACUUGCAAAUAAAAUAGCUCACCAAUUCAAGAAACAACCUUGCACAAAUACCACAGACAACUCAAAUGCAAAACACAGAUGAAUAUGGAAAUUUUCAGGAAACUUUCAUGAAGCAAGUUCAAAAUAUAAUCACCCCAUUAUUGGUAAUGGGGCUACUUCUUACAACCUUUUCUAAUGGUCCCUGUGAACAGUAGGAGGUAAUCAUAACUUCUUUGUAUUAGCACAACCAAUCAAUGUUUUAAUUUACUUAAAAGAGUAAAGUUAAUACAUGAAUAUUAUAUGCCGAGACUGUCAUUUUGGUACCUUCUUAGGCAUCACUCUACAGUUUCUUAACUUCUUUCUUGUCCCCCAUUGUUUAAGUACUUUUAUUUUAAUUGAUUACGUUCAAUUCAUUCAUUUUAGUUAGUAAUAUAUUUUUUCUUCUGCCAAAGUUACCUAUUGUGACUGCAAAUGUGUGUGUAUAUCUGUGGGAUAAGCUUUGUUCUGUUACAGUUGACUGCUUAGGCUGUAGCUCUCUAAAAGAAGAACUCUAGUAGGAUAGGCUUUCUAUCCCAUUGCAUUCUAGCAUCUAGUUGCAAGUUUUUAACUGGAUUGGGUUUUUAGCAUCUAGUUGCAAGUUUUUAACUGGAUUGGGUUUUUAACAAUGGUUGAUAUUUUUCUAGAUCUCACUUUCUCAAAAGGUGUCAUUUGGAUUAUUAUUAUUAUUAUGAUGUGAAUCCAAUUACUCUUCCAUGUUCCAGCCCCACUAUUGUGAUGUUGAACAUGAAAUUGUCUGUGUUUGUAUAUUGUAUGGACCAUAUUGUAUAAUAGUCUAAGUGUCUUAUUAUAUUAUUUAGGCCAUACCUCACAGUGUAUGAAUCUAGAGAACCACUUCUUUGAAUAUAUUCAUAGAAAAUGGCUUGGUGCAGCCUUUUCACUCAUGACCGUGAAUGAUGCCUCUAAAGCACCUUGCUUCAGACUGUACCCCUUUCCAAAUAGACUAAACUUUCCAACUUUUCACUCAUGAUCGUGAGAUGCAUAUUUAAAAUUGGUUGAAUGUUCCUUCACGGAUCGUGAUCAGAAAAUUGUUACCGAAGUUGCAGAAUGUGUCUAAAUUCAUGUGAAGGCUGCAGCACCUUGUCCAUUUCACGUUACACCACUUAGGAUCUCCAAACUCUCUCUUUAACACCUUACCUUUAAAUAUUCACCUAUUUCACCAAAUAUUAGUUUUUAAACAAGUAAAUUAUCAACAUGACGAACAAAUAAAUUAAAUAUCAAAACUAUUAAAAAUAUUAUUACAUAACAUUAUAGUAUUUUAAAAAUCAAACUAUCAACCUACAGAAUUAUAAUUAAUAAAUAAUUAUAUUAAAAAAAUUAUAAAAAGUGGUAAAAAGCUUAUAAAGAAGAUUUGUUAUUGGUGGAUUAAGAGUUAACUUACCUUCAACUUUUCUCAAACUCGUUUCUGAAUCCUAAUCCAAUCCAAACUUGUAUGAACGAAAUGGACUUACUUAUUAGAACCUAUUUGGCAUCUUUAUUAUUUUAUUCUUUUAUAUUUGUGCACUCCUCACAACCUGAAGUAAUUAGAAUACUUUUCAAAAUACAAUUACAUGGAUUGCAUAAGAUAUAUUAUUGUCUUACA